rnacentral:rRNA from 1 species
CCUACGGGGGGCAGCAGUGGGGAAUAUUGGACAAUGGGCGAAAGCCUGAUCCAGCCAUGCCGCGUGUGUGAAGAAGGCCUUCGGGUUGUAAAGCACUUUCAGUGGGGAAGAAAGCCUUGGGGCUAAUACCCUCGAGGAAGGACAUCACCCACAGAAGAAGCACCGGCUAACUCCGUGCCAGCAGCCGCGGUAAUACGGAGGGUGCGAGCGUUAAUCGGAAUUACUGGGCGUAAAGCGCGCGUAGGCGGUCUGUUAAGCCGGUUGUGAAAGCCCCGGGCUCAACCUGGGAACGGCAUCCGGAACUGUCAGGCUAGAGUGCAGGAGAGGAGGGUAGAAUUCCCGGUGUAGCGGUGAAAUGCGUAGAGAUCGGGAGGAAUACCAGUGGCGAAGGCAGCCUUCUGGACUGACACUGACGCUGAGGUGCGAAAGCGUGGGGAGCAAACAGGAUUAGAUACCCGAGUAGUC